AACCGUCUAGAGGUAAGCGGGUGGACCCGUCCAGUCGGCCCUCGGAAUUCAGCUUUUGGGAAAGUCUGCUGGCGCAGUUCUGGGAUCCCUGGGACUCGCUCGGCGCCAGACCGGACUCCCGAGAGUGCACUUUCCGUGUUGGCAGAGCGUCACGACCGGUUUUGCGGCGGUGAGAAGGCCCUCGGGAAGGUAGGUCGACGUCCUUCGGGGCGACGACUGUUAUAGACCUUGGGAGAUGGCCGCUGCGAGACCGUGGAUCGACCCGUCGUAUGGCAGUGGGGCUUCCCGCGUGCGUUCGACUCGGAAGGACAGGCUUGCCGUGCUUCCGGACUGCGCUGCGUGGGAGGACUCUGCUAUAGCCCGCGAUGCGUUAGGGUCAGUGACACACGAUCGGUAAUCCACCCGGCCCGUCUUGAAACACGGACCAAGAAGUCCAACAUGUGCGCGAGUCAUUGGGUCCUACGAAACCUAAAGGCGUAAUGAAGGUGAAGGCAGGUUCGGCCUGCUGAGGUGAGAUCCUCGUCCUCGGGCGGGGCGCAUCACCGGCCCGUCUGCAAAGGCGGAGCAAGAGCGCACACGUUGGGACCCGAAAGAUGGUGAACUAUGCCUGAGCAGGAUGAAGCCAGAGGAAACUCUGGUGGAAGUCCGUAGCGAUUCUGACGUGCAAAUCGAUCGUCGAACUUGGGUAUAGGGGCGAAAGACUAAUCGAACCAUCUAGUAGCUGGUUCCCUCCGAAGUUUCCCUCAGGAUAGCUGGCGCUCGUCUUAACAGUUUUAUCCGGUAAAGCGAAUGAUUAGAGGCCUUGGGGACGAAACGUCCUCAACCUAUUCUCAAACUUUAAAUGGGUAAGGAGUCGGACUCGCUCGAUCUGGAGUCCGGACUGGAAUGUGAGUGCCAAGUGGGCCACUUUUGGUAAGCAGAACUGGCGCUGUGGGAUGAACCAAACGUCCGGUUAAGGUGCCUAACCCUGACGCUCAUGAGAUACCAUAAAAGGUGUUGGUUGAUAUAGACAGCAGGACGGUGGCCAUGGAAGUCGGA
rnacentral:rRNA from 1 species